rnacentral:lncRNA from 1 species
UGACGCACAGUGCUGGCGCAAGUCGUCUUGCGCCAGGCGACUGGGUCUGAGGAGGCAGGAGUUAUUCAUUCCCUUAAGCUUUCAGGCCGGGGGGAGAAUCUUUCAGGUGGUAGCUGCAAGAACUCUUAGUAUGUUGACCUCACCUCUGCCUUCCACAUACCACUACCAGUGAGGAAUUAGGAAUGCAUGAGAAGAGUGUCCAAGAAGAGUGUCCUCAUUCAUGCAAGGCUUAAGAGAGAAUGCAGGUCAACAUCACCAUGUCAAUCAGAGAAUACUUCUGUUGGGUUGAAUGACUCUCUGCCCCCAGGUGCAGAUGCUGAGAGCACUUUCUAGUCAAGUCCUGCAUGUUCAUUUCUGUCUCAAGUCAGCUUCUCUGAGAAUCCAAUUUAUAAAAAUAUAUUUGUGAAUGUAUAAGUAAAGUGACUUGGAUUUUGUCUACGUACAAGGACUUCUAUGCCUGCAUAAAACAGCGUAGUUUGGAACCAGCAGCAGCAGCAGCUCCCCAGACCUACUGAAUCAGAAUCUACAUUUUGAUAAGAGCCCAGGGUGACUCCAUGUACGUGAAAAAGUUUGAGAAGUCCUUAGACCUACAGUUCACAGCUUCUCCUUCUUUCUUAUUCAACUGAAUUGCAGUGGGACCUGAGUAUGGUUAAAAUAAAUGAAUAAAAACACAAAUCAAUUCUUGGGUGAGUCUCAUGAACAAUCAAGAUUAAG